GAAACAGUUGCUAAGACUGGAUAGGAAAAGUAAAGGCAUCUUUACUUUUUUAAAAGAUCUUCUUUGAAGGUAUGCUUAAGGAGGGGCUUGCGACACAUUAGUUAGUUGGUAGGGUAAAGGCCUACCAAGACUAUGAUGUGUAGCUGGACUGAGAGGUUGAACAGCCACAUUGGGACUGAGACACGGCCCAAACUCCUACGGGAGGCAGCAGUAGGGAAUUUUCGGCAAUGGAGGAAACUCUGACCGAGCAACGCCGCGUGAACGAUGAAGUACCUCGGUAUGUAAAGUUCUUUUAUUAAGGAAGAAAAAAGAGUGGAAAAACUCCCUUGACGGUACUUAAUGAAUAAGCCCCGGCUAAUUAUGUGCCAGCAGCCGCGGUAAUACAUAAGGGGCGAGCGUUAUCCGGAAUUAUUGGGCGUAAAGGGUGCGUAGGCGGUUUAAUAAGUCUAUAGUUUAAUUUCAGUGCUUAACGCUGUUGUGCUAUAGAAACUGUUUUACUAGAGUGAGAUAGAGGCAAGCGGAAUUCCAUGUGUAGCGGUAAAAUGCGUAAAUAUAUGGAGGAACACCAGAGGCGUAGGCGGCUUGCUGGGUCUUUACUGACGCUGAGGCACGAAAGCGUGGGGAGCAAACAGGAUUAGAUACCCUGGUAGUCCACGCCGUAAACGAUGAGUACUAAGUGUCGGGUAAAACUGGUACUGAAGUUAACACAUUAAGUACUCCGCCUGAGUAGUACGUACGCAAGUAUGAAACUUAAAGGAAUUGACGGGACUCCGCACAAGCGGUGGAUCAUGUUGUUUAAUUCGAAGAUACACGAAAAACCUUACCAGGUCUUGACAUUUUCUUGCGAAGUUAUAGAAAUAUAAUGGAGGUCAUCAGGAAAACAGGUGGUGCAUGGUUGUCGUCAGCUCGUGUCGUGAGAUGUUAGGUUAAGUCCUAAAACGAGCGCAACCCUUGUCGUUAGUUGCCAGCAUGUAAUGAUGGGGACUUUAACGAGACUGCCAAUGAAAAAUUGGAGGAAGGUGGGGAUUACGUCAAAUCAUCAUGCCCCUUAUGAUCUGGGCUACAAACGUGAUACAAUGGUUGAUACAAAGAGUAGCUGAAACGCGAGUUCUUAGCCAAUCUCAAAAAAUCAAUCUCAGUUCGGAUUGAAGUCUGCAACUCGACUUCAUGAAGUUGGAAUCGCUAGUAAUCGCGAAUCAGCAUGUCGCGGUGAAUACGUUCUCGGGGUUUGUACACACCGCCCGUCA
rnacentral:rRNA from 1 species